AAUAAAAAAAAUUUCUUGAAAAACAACUGCUUUAGUUGCAAAACGUGGAUCGCACAAAUUGUAUUAGUGGGAAAAAAAUGCACCAAGUGCGGUUUAUUUUAUCAGUUAUUGCUCUGACUUUCUCAACUGUUUCUUCUAGCAAUUUCUGUGAUAAUCCCGUGUCUAAUGUCGAAUGCCCAGAAGAUUUUCCAGACUUUGAUUGUGAUUGCAAUGAAUUCUUCAAAUGUGUCGACAGACUGAACAUAUAUCUUCCUAAUUAUCAUUUAUACGUUGAUAAAUGUGCUGAUACUGUGUGUCCUUUUUGAUUUUAAGGUCUGAAGCAUGUGGGAGACAUCGAAGAUCGAUGCUUGUGUCCUCGUGUGAUUGUGUGAUGCAGCAAUACCAAAAUCUCCAUACUGAACAGGCAGCAGGAAUCCUCCGAAAUUCACCAUUUUACCCUGAUUCGCCACGUGGAAGUCAUAGAGGGAGGUCUUUUCUGCUGCAGCAUUUGAAGCAAAUCCUCUUGUGACCUGUAAACUCCUUCCGAAGUGUCUCAAAACAAUCCUGGAUGCAGUCAUUUUGUGACCAAACGACACACCCACAGCACAGAUAA